UGGCUCAGACAGUAAAGCCUCUGCCUGCAGUGCAGAAGACCCAGGUUUGAUCCCUGG
rnacentral:tRNA from 1 species